rnacentral:tRNA from 1 species
UGACGCUUAAUAGGUAGAGCAUCAGACUUUGAAUCUGAUAGUUGAAGGUUCGACUCCUUCACCGUCAU